rnacentral:rRNA from 1 species
UCGUAGCAUGGUGUGGGAGUGGGAACACACGACAAGCUUCCUUGCUCUGGGCGUGGCCGUAUCCUGGAGGGGGGAAGGGAACCUUGCCUCCCCCUCCCUAUUACGUGCCCGCAGACGCGGUGGAACUUAAGGGCUAGUUUUGUCCCCAAACCCCUAAAGGGUGUGAUAGGCCGUUUUAAUUAAAAAGGGUUUUAUAAUUUAAGAAGGUAAAUGGAAUUUUUUUGUAGCGGUGGAAUGUGUAAAUAGAAAAAAGAACUUUAGACGUGAAGACUAUUUAUUUUUGAGAUUAUAGUGUGAUGGCUAAAACACGAGAGUAUGGGGAGCAAACAGGAUUAGGGACCCUGGUAGUCUAUACUGUAAAUAAUGAAAAAGAUGUGAAGCGAUGCUACAAAGUCAGAAAUUUUCCGCUUGAGUAGUACGACCGCAAGGUUAAAAUUCAAAAAACUUGGCUGUUCACUGUUUUAAUUAGAGGAGCGUGUCGUUUAAUUCGAUAGUCCGCGAGAGACCUUACCCAAACUUGAAUCCUUCAUUGACAGGUAUUGCAUGGCCGUCGUCAAUUUGUGUAUUAAACAUAAAACAGAUUUAACCCAGUGGUUUGUCACUUGGAUGAAGUCAGGUCUUAUUGUCCUAAUGUUUGGGGAUUAGAUGCGCUACAUUUUUUUAUACAUAGGAAACUUUGAGUGUGAAACCUGAAAAUAAGAGUUCCGAAGUGCCUGGAAGAUACGGAAAGUUGUAUUUAAUACUAAUUGACACUACAGCGUUCCAUGAAAUUUUUCAGGGUAGC